rnacentral:rRNA from 1 species
GACGAACGCUGGCGGCGUGCCUAAUACAUGCAAGUAGGACGCAGUUGCGAACGUGUGAGUAACGCGUAGGUAACUGCCUAUUAGAGGGGGAUAACUAUUGGAAACGAUAGCUAAUACCGCAUACUAGUAGAUGGACCUGCGUUGUAUUAGCUAGUAGGUAGGGUAAUGGCCUACCUAGGCAACGAUACAUAGCCGAGCUGGAGAGGAGAACGGCCACACUGGGACCUGGGCACGGGCCAGACUCCUACCGGAGGCAGGAGGAGGGGAACUUCGGCAAUGGGGGGAAACCUGACCGAGCAACGCCGGGUGAGAUGAGAAGGUUUUCGGAUCGUAAAGCUCUGUUGUGAAGGAAGCGGUACUUAACCAGAAAGGGACGGCUAACUACGUGCCAGCAGCCGCGGUAAUUC